GACGAACGCUGGCGGCGUGCUUAACACAUGCAAGUCGAACGGAAAGGCCCUGCUUUUGUGGGGUGCUCGAGUGGCGAACGGGUGAGUAACACGUGAGUAACCUGCCCUUGACUUUGGGAUAACUUCAGGAAACUGGGGCUAAUACCGGAUAGGAGCUCCUGCUGCAUGGUGGGGGUUGGAAAGUUUCGGCGGUUGGGGAUGGACUCGCGGCCUAUCAGCUUGUUGGUGGGGUAGUGGCUUACCAAGGCUUUGACGGGUAGCCGGCCUGAGAGGGUGACCGGCCACAUUGGGACUGAGAUACGGCCCAGACUCCUACGGGAGGCAGCAGUGGGGAAUAUUGCACAAUGGGCGGAAGCCUGAUGCAGCAACGCCGCGUGCGGGAUGACGGCCUUCGGGUUGUAAACCGCUUUCGCCUGUGACGAGGCGUGAGUGACGGUAAUGGGUAAAGAGGCACCGGCUAACUACGUG
rnacentral:rRNA from 1 species